rnacentral:misc_RNA from 1 species
UCUCCAUAUCUGCCACACCAGACCAUACCACAGCUGACGCACGCACAGACGCAGUGCACGGCCUCACACUCUCAAGUCUCUAUCCUAUCCAAUCCCUUUCCAUAAUUACUCUUAAAUCCACUCCAAUACAUCCAAAAAAUUUAAGCCCUCAUUUAUUUUUUGUUUUGUGUAUCAUCUCCGAUUUUUUCAAUCAAUCUCUCUCUACUGGCGGGGGUGGUGAUUUUGGGGCAUGGCGCUUCCUGCGGCUGUUGUCAUCGUGCCAUUGGGACUUCUGUUCUUCUCGUAUGGCCUUAUUAUUAAUCUCAUUCAGGCUA